CGCCGCGUUGCUCCUCAAACCAAGCACCGCACAUCAUCACCUUUGGUUAAUGAAUAAGAGAGCAGACUGCAUACAACUUCACAAAAGCAGAGAUUGAAAAUUCGAUCUUCCUUUUUGACUUCAAGAACUUGACGGAGAUCCAAACGUAACUCUCGAUAUGCAGCUCAGUUUUGCACUCAUCUUUUCGAUUGCCAUCCUGCUGGGUAAUGCUCUCGAGCUCAGAGCGGCCAUUUACGGGCCGGCUCCGACAGACGGUGAAGGUGCGGAGUCUCAAAGCCAAAUGUGCUUAGAGGUACUGCGAGGUCCACCUGGUUUAGUUGGCCCCAAGGGUGAAGAAGGGGUCAGGGGCAGAAAGGUGAGGUUGGUCCAGUUGGCGCUGUUGGUGAGCAGGGAGCUCCGGGGAACCCUGGGCCUAAAGGGGACGUCGGAGUGGGCCUGCCGGGUAGGGUAGGUCCCAGAGGUCCACCUGGUGUAGUUGGCCCUAGGGGGAAGCUGGAGUUAAAGGUCAAAAAGGUGAACCGGGGGAGGUGCUAGAUAACUCUGCCCAGCAAGUAGCAUUCACGGUGACGCGGACAAGCAGCUCA